rnacentral:lncRNA from 1 species
UUGAUCUAACACAACCUAACUUCCCAGGGGUACCUCUUGCCACCUAUGCCCUUGCACUCUAUGACACACCAGACACAUUGUAAUGACUGCAGUUUCUCAGCACACCUUUCUCUAUUACACACCCAUGCUGCUCCUGGCCUCUGGGACUUGGCACAAGCUUUUCCUUCUCUGGGAUUCCUCAUUUGUUCUAUGUACCAUACUCAAUCCUGCCUUCCCUCUUCCCCUAGAUAAUUCCUAAUUUUCCUUUAUUCCUUAGUUUAAAUGUCACUUCCAGUUGAAAAUAGGGAAAACAGGAAUCCCUGGGUGGGAAAAGACCAUACAUGAGGAAAGAGGCUGAUACAGUGGGCCUGAAGCUAGAUGAGAUUGGUGGUUCCAGGUCCAGUAAGAGGUUCUAACUGAAAGCCACAUUUAACAGUCUGAGAAAAGGAAGGCAGUGUGAUAAAGAAUGAAAUAAUUCUGUUACUAGGGUCGCAUGUCACAAUGCUAUGGGACUACCAUGAAGGCAGUCCAGACAAGAAGAAAAUGCUUCACCAAGAACUGGGAAGAGAGGAGCACCUGAGAUCUGGAAGCAGGAAAAAUGGCAAAAGUCCCCAAGUGAUGGUGGAAACGCUCGAAGAGUGGCAGUAGCAUAGGAGAAAGGUACAGGCAGCUUUAAAGCAACAAACAAAACAACAGUAGACAAUGACCAGGAAAUAUGGUGAGAAGAGUCAUCGGAAGAAAAGAAAGGCAAAACUGCCAAGCAAACAAAUGAUUCUCCUCAUUCAUUGAUUCAACAAACACUUCCUAAGCUCCUCAAGGGGCCAGGGCCCAAGGCAGGCAUGAAGUAGCACUGAGCACACAGACAAGCAGGACACAGGCUGGGAAAUAUCAAUUAAGUUAAGCGCAGAGCAUCAUAAGGACCUUACUUUUCAAAAUCCAUGCUGGUGAACUUGACCUCUUUGAUACUUUAGGAUUGAUAUUACAAUCUCAAGAGGUAUCACGGAAUAUUGAGGUUUGUUCUGCAUUUGGUUAUUCAAAGCUUUGAUUUUUUAAAUGUAUAGAGAUACUCUGUGCUGGAUAUUAAACACAUGUCUAUUUCUUUUUCCUCUCCAACAAGGGAAAUAGAAGAAAAAUUAUCUUGAAUGAGGGAUGUAAAUCAUGCUUGAGUGCUACAAGGCACUCAGGGUACCUGGCCAGAGGAAGUAGGCAGACAACUUUGUCCAGCCACAAUGGACAAAGAAGAGAUGGAGUGGUGUGGGGAAAUCAGGUUCUGGGCCUGUAAAGUGUGGAGACAUAGGCUCACUGUGCCUAUGAGUCUCACUGAGUUCUGAGACUUGUUUGAGACUUGGCAGGUGACAGUGGGAAAGUAUUCCUACAAGUAGGAUCAUACUGGUGGCAGUGCAGUAGUUAGAACAGAGGACCCAGUGUAGCACCUUCUCAGCUAGAGGCCGACCCAGGCCCUCCUCCAUAGUAAGAGCAGGAGAUUCUGCUUCAUGAAGUCCUUAGUCACUGCUCUGGAUCUUGAUCCUGAGCCAAGUUGUGACUCUGCCACCAGUUCUCUAUGACUUAGCUGCAAAGCAUGACAUCACUUAUGAUUCCUGAUUGUGGCAUAUUGAUGUAGUUUGAGCUGCUGAGGGGAAAAGGAAUGUGGACACUCCUGUUAUACCCAAUUAUGUAUCAUGAAAAGUCAUACAGCUUCUGUUGGAAGUCGAGCUUUUGAUAAACAGACGGCAGGUGCCUAAAUGACAUUCCUUGAUGACACUUGAAAAGGUCAUAACAAUCUCUCUGAACUCUGAAAUUCUAGGUUUUGUAUAAAGAGAUUUGACUAUUCUGUUUUUACUUGUAAUGAACAGUAUAUGACAGGUAAACUUUAGGGCAUACAAUAACUUCAUUUCAAUUCUGUAGCACAGUGGAAUAUUUGAAAAAUACUUUAUUGAGAUAAAAUUUAUAAAACAAAACUAACCAUUUUAAAGUGAACAAUCAGUGGCAUUUAGUAGGUUCACAUUUUUGUGCAAUCAUGACCUCUAUCAAGUUCCAAAACACUUCCAUUAUUCCCCCUUAUUCAUUAAGCAGUUUUUCCCCAUUCACCCCUGCUCCCUAACCCCUGGCAACCACCAA